UACGUAGGGACCAAGCGUUGUCCGGAAUCAUUGGGCGUAAAGAGCGUGUAGGCGGCUUGUUAAGUCUUGCGUGAAAUCUCGGGGCUCAACCCCGAGCGGUCGUGAGAAACUGGCAGGCUAGAGUGCGGGAGAGGAGAGUGGAAUUCCUGGUGUAGCGGUGGAAUGCGCAGAUAUCAGGAGGAACACCAAUGGCGAAGGCAGAUCUCUGGGCCGUAACUGACGCUGAGGAGCGAAAGCAUGGGGAGCGAACAGG
rnacentral:rRNA from 1 species